GAUGAACGCUGGCGGCGUGCUUAACACAUGCAAGUCGAACGGAAAGGCCCAAGCUUGCUUGGGUACUCGAGUGGCGAACGGGUGAGUAACACGUGGGUGAUCUGCCCUGCACUUCGGGAGAAGCCUGGGAAACUGGGUCUAAUACCGGAUAGGACCUCAUUUUGGAUGGUGUGGUGGAAAGUUUUUCGGUGUGGGAUGAGCUCGCGGCCUAUCAGCUUGUUGGUGGGGUAAUGGCCUACCAAGGCGUCGACGGGUAGCCGGCCUGAGAGGGUGUACGGCCACAUUGGGACUGAGAGAAGGCCCAGACGCGGACGGGAGGCAGAAGUGGGGAAGAUUGAACAAGGGGCGCAGGCCGGAUGCAGAGACGCCGCGGGGGGGAUGACGGUGUUAGGGUUGAAGAAUCCAUGCGCUAGGGACGAAGCGUUAUGUGACGGUACCUGGAGAAGAAGCACCGGCUAACUACGUG
rnacentral:rRNA from 1 species